rnacentral:rRNA from 1 species
AUUGAACGCUGGCGGCAUGCCUUACACAUGCAAGUCGAACGGUAACAGGUCUUCGGAUGCUGACGAGUGGCGAACGGGUGAGUAAUACAUCGGAACGUGCCUAGUAGUGGGGGAUAACUACUCGAAAGAGUGGCUAAUACCGCAUGAGAUCUACGGAUGAAAGCAGGGGAUCGCAAGACGUUGUGCUACUAGAGCGGUCGAUGGCAGAUUAGGUAGUUGGUGGGAUAAAAGAUUACCAAGCCGACGAUCUGUAGCUGGUCUGAGAGGACGAUCAGCCACACUGGGACUGAGACACGGCCCAGACUCCUACGGGAGGCAGCAGUGGGGAAUUUUGGACAAUGGGCGCAAGCCUGAUCCAGCAAUGCCGCGUGCAGGAUGAAGGCCUUCGGGUUGUAAACUGCUUUUGUACGGAACGAAAAGCCCUGGGUUAAUACCCUGGGGUCAUGACGGUACCGUAAGAAUAAGCACCGGCUAACUACGUGCCAGCAGCCGCGGUAAAAC